UGGGGAAUUUUGGACAAUGGGCGCAAGCCUGAUCCAGCCAUGCCGCGUGCAGGAAGAAGGCCUUCGGGUUGUAAACUGCUUUCGGACGGAAAGAAAUCGCCACACCUAAUACGAGUGGUGGAUGACGGUACCGUAAGAAGAAGCACCGGCUAACUACGUGCC
rnacentral:rRNA from 1 species